GACAGAGGGGGCAAGCGUUGCUCGGAAUCACUGGGCGUAAAGGGCGCGUAGGCGGGAUGGCAAGUCGGUCGUGAAAUCUCUCGGCUCAACCGAGAAACGUCGGCCGAUACUGCCGUUCUUGAGGGAUGCAGAGGAGACUGGAAUUCCCGGUGUAGCGGUGAAAUGUGUAGAGAUCGGGAGGAACACCGGUGGCGAAGGCGGGUCUCUGGGCAUUUCCUGACGCUGAGGCGCGAAAGCGUGGGGAGCGAACAGG
rnacentral:rRNA from 1 species